UUUUUUUUUUUUCUUUUUUUUCUUUUUAGGGCUGCACCUGAGGCAUGUGUAGGUUCCUAGGCUAGGGGUCGAAUCAGAGUUGUAGCUGCCGGCCUACACCAUAGCCACAGCAAUGCAGGAUCCAAGCCACAUCUAUGACCUACACCACAGCUCACGGCAAUGCCGGAUCCUUAACUCGCUGAGCAAGGCCAAGGAUCAAACCUUCAUCCUCAUGGAUGCUAGUCAGAUUCUUUAACCACUGAGCCACAACAGGAUCUCCACUAAUUUUUCUUUUCUUUCCUUUCCUUUCCUUUUCUUUGUCUUUUCAGGGCUGUACCCACAGCAUAUGAAAGUUCCUAGACUAGGGUUUGAAUCAGAGCCUCAGCUCCUAUCCUACACCACAGCCACAGCAACACCAGAUCCAAGCUGCAUCUGCAAACUACACCAUAGUUCACAGCAAUGCUGGAUCCUUAAGCCACUGAGCGAGGCCAGGGAUUGAACCCACAUCUUCAUGGAUACUAGCUGGGUUCGUUACCCCUUAGCAGGUGGGACCCCCCCUGGGUAGAACAUCUGAGCUCCACUAGACCAUGACUGGGGAUUCCCAUGGGGCUUCCAGAACUCAGAACGGAAAGUGAACUGACUCACCACCUAGAGAGGGACAAAGAGAAGUGCCCAUAUUUGAGACCAUUGAAAAUGAAACCACAAAUAUUUUGGGUCUCCUUUCUCAAUCUCCAAGAAGCUUCUCCACUUGCAAGGGAUUAUGGUGGCAGCAGAUUAAGGAGAAGCACUUAUGCCUGGAGGACCAGGGAUGGAGCAGCCCAGGGAGGAGGAAUGGGGCCAGCUCCAAGGGGCCAUGGAAGACAAGGGUCUGUAUUUAUGCAAAGGAAAGAGGGCAGAAAAGUCCACUGACCAAAAUCAACCAAAGUUGCUUCUUGGUACAAUGAUAUAAUUUACAUUGGAAGGAAGUAACCCUCCAUAUCUGCCUCUUCUUCUUGCAGAGAUUGAUGUGGGAAGGGAAAGAGAAAAACAGGAACCCCCUGCAUCUCAGGCCCAAGGUUAGUCAGGCAUGUUAGUGACCUUGACUGGGUAAGUUAGACCCUAAGCAUUUGGAUACAAGACUGAAGGGAACUCUGAAUUGUAAAUGCAGAUUUAUAAAGUACAAUGUUCUGAAUUAUAAAGUGGAGGACAUAAAGAAACCUCCAAGACACUGGGGUCAGAGACAGGAGCUAAAUUAAUAAAUAAAGUUUAAAAAAGGCAGUCUUUUCAAGGUAGUGUGGCACUUCAAACAUGCCCCAAAAUUCUUUGAUGUUCCUCCCACAGAGACGGGGGAGAUCUAUCCCCCCUUUCCUUGAAUCUGCGGUCUGUAACUGCUUGACUAAAUGGAAUAUAGCAGUAUUGAUGCUGUGCUGAUUUCCAAGCACCGGCCUUGAGAUGCCGGCCAGCCCCAGCCAGCCAGGCAUGGCAUGUACCAUAUUGGAGGUAGAUUUGGAGCCAUAUUGGAUGAUGAUCCUCCAGCCCCAGACCAGCCACGCCAGUGAUGCCACAUAGAGCAAAGGACAGCCUACUGAGCGCUGCUGAACCUGCAGAUGAAAGAGUAAGGGAAAUGAUUUUUUGCCUGUUUUAAAUCACUGCAUUUUGGGGUAGUUUGUUUCACAAGAGUUCAACCAGAAUAGAUUUUACAGGGAGAUGCUUUUGUAAUAAAAACAUAACUCAUAUGGCACUGGCUUGGGAACAAGCAGUGGACAAAAGGCUAAAGGUCCCAAGGAACUAUCAGUGGGGCUUACAAGAAAGUGAGAAAACCAUGAGUCAAAGCUGGAGGACAGGAGACCCUUGUUAUGCAGUAGUGGAAACUUUUCAUAAAACUCUCACAUGCAGUAACAUGGAAAAAUUGAAAAUACACCUAAGCAACUCAAUGAUCUGGUUAAGCAGAUUUCUAGGCAAAGUACUUAAGAAGAAAUCAAGAAGGCUUCGCAUGGGAUGGGUCAAGAGGAUAGGAAUCAAGAUGAUUUAGAUUUCUUUUUUUGGUCACAACUAUCACAUAUGGAAAUUCCCAGGUCAGGGAUCAAAUUCAUGCCACAGCAGUAACCCAAGCCACAGCAGUGACAACAUCAGAUGUUUAACUGCUAGGCCACUAGGGAACUCCAAGUUCAUCUAGAUCUUAAGGGACAAGAUGAACACAGCUAACAUCCAACUACAUUAAUUUCCUAGACAAUUAUUUUCUAUAUUCAUACUCCAUCAGCAUUCAACAAAAGACUUAAAGUGACUUUAUUAAAUACUUAAAAUGCAUCAGUAAAAGUCAAGUAUAAAUUGGAACAAAAAGAAAAUGAGAGUGAGGAUAUGAAAUAAAACCAGGAUAUUAGAGGUCUAAGUGGGACGGUGGCUCUGAUGCAGCCGUCUGUAGACCUCACAUGGAGAAACACAGCUUUCCUUUGGUCUUCUGGCUCUUUAAGCUUGUAAUUGGUAGACACUCAAUGUUAACUGUCUCAACUUCUAUUCAUCUGUACCUUUGGCACUCUAUAAAAGUUCAGACGAUGAAGAUGAACUUGUCUCAACCCCCAUGGCCCCUCCUCUUAUGAUGGAACCACAUUCCCCCAAUGGAAGGGGUCUGAGUAUGAUGGUGAGUUGCAUAAAACUGACUGUUGUUUCAGACCUGGCAAUGGGUUUAUUAGUAGAAAGAUAAAAGGAAUUAAGAUUCCUAAGCUAUUGGGGAAUAAAACAGAUUCUUUGUCAAGGUAGAGGAAAUCUCAGUAGAAUUAAUACAAACCUAAGUGCCAAGGUGACCAAAAGACCUACAUUGGGAGUACUCAGCUCAGAGAAAAGGGCAUUCUGGUUGGCUCUCCCAAACUCCUCUGCCCCAGAUGAUCCAUCCAAGACAGUUUUGGUAAUCCAUCCCUAUACAUCUUCAGCUAUUGGCUCAAGAAUGGUCAGGACUAGGCCAGAUUUAAACAGCAAGCUGCCAGAAGUUUACCUGGUACUUUUGUAUAAAACCAGACAGUCUUUUUCACCUUAUAGCUCUAAACAACGCAGCAUGUCACACAGUUGCUACUGGUCUGAUGAGGUUACCAACAAACUUAGGUCAAGAUGAAUCACCACACUUAGGCUGAUGUUAGUGCUGAAGCAGCAGAGCAGAAAAAUGCAAACUAUUAAGGUGCCUGAUAACUUCGUUGGGCCACAAAUCAACCAACCUUGAAAUAUGUGUCUUAGUGCUAGACUUCAUUUAAAUAUAUAUAUUUGGCCAUGCCCAUGGUGUGCAGAAGUUCCGGGGUCAGGGAUCAAACCUGUACUACAGCCAUAACCAGAGCCACAGCAAUGCCAGCACCAGAUCCUUAACCCACUGCAGCACCAGGGAACUCCUACUACUGCUAAAGUUUUCAUUAUGAAAGAAAAUAUACCUCUCAUUUUUGAGGGAGAUUAAGAUGGCAGAGUAAGAGGAUGCAGACCUUAUCUCCCCCAUGAACACAUCAAAAAUGUAUCUAUAUGUGGAUCUAUUCUCACUGAAAACAAACUGGAGAUGGACAGAAAGACUCUUACACAACCAAGGUUGUGUGAAAGAUGCACAGAGAAAUGGGUAGGAAGGGAAAAGAAGUGACCAGGUUGGGACCUGCACCCUUGGGAGAGGACACAGAAGAAGAGGAGAAUUCCUAGGCCCAGAGAUGCUUGCUGGGGAGGAAGUAAUUCAAUCCGCAAUAGGGUGUCCAGGCCUGGGGUCCAACACCAGGAGGAUGAGUUAGCUGGUUUGAAAACCAGCAAGACAGACACUGGGUCUGUAAGAAACCUGGACUCUGCUCAUGAAGAGUGCACAGGUUUGCAUACUCCUGAAACAAUGCAAAGGAAGCAGACUGAAGCUGCCCAGGACUCUGGCUGGUUUACCAUGACCACUCCAGCAGAGGCCCCAGUCUAAACAAAGUGCUUUCUCUGGCCUCAGUUGCUCUGUGGUACAGCUCCACACUGGGACAAUGGCUGCCACAGCAAAGAGCAGUAAACAGUUGUGAGGGACAAAGCUUGCUUGGACCCUGCAGUAACUCUGAUCCAGAUGCAGGAGGUAUUGCUGGUGCCUACAAAGGCAGCAGAUAACUCUGACUGGUGCCAGGACUACCACAACCCACUCUCUGACUCAUUCCAAGUGCCCAGUCCAGCUUCUUUUGCUCUAGCACUGCUCCUCUCUGGGGUGAGGAUGCCAGUGCUUGGAGGAGGAGAGAACACACUUAGAAUGAAUGGAGCCAUAUCAGACCCAACACUUAGGACUUUCUGUACCAGCAAUGUGGGACCUUCCCCUGCCACCAAUAGGAUGGUGUUGGCCCCUGAGAAGAGAGGAAGCCCUGGAUCACACCUGGCUCUGGCUCUAAUAUUUCCCUCUCCAGCCCCACCUCCCACCAAGGUGAUAGCUGCCAGCACAUCCUGGGAGAAGAUGUGACCUGUGCUCAUGUCAGAUCCAUUUUCCCUCUGGGAACACACAGACUGUAUAGGGAUGUUCCCAAAAAGGACACCCAUUCAAGACUUGGAUACCCAAUUGUUUUGCCUAAUUUAAUAGAAACAGAGAAAGUUAAGCAAAAAUGAGAAAACACACAAAAAAAUUUCAAGUGAAAGAACAAGACAAAACCCCUGAAAAAAAUUAGUGAAACAGAAAUGAAUAAUUUACCAGAUAAUGAAUUCAAAGCAUUAGUAAUAAAAGUGCUAAGUGAACUAGGGAAAAGAAUAGAGGAACACAGUAUGAAUUUCAAUGGGGUACUAGAAAAUUUUUAAAAAAUGGUCAGAACUGAAGAAUACAGAAACAAAUGAAAAACACACUAGAGGGAAUUAAUAGCAGAC
rnacentral:lncRNA from 1 species